GUGCCCGCUGUGGCGAGAGCCCCCGACCCCCCUCGGGGGCGCAUCGUCGACCGAUCCCGGGUCACGCUGUGGCGGGAUUUGAGUGAGAGCGUGCCUGUUGCGACCCGAAAGAUGGUGAACUAUGCCUGAAUAGGGUGAAGCCAGAAGAAAUUCUGGUGGAAGCCCGCAGCGAUUCUGACGUGCAAAUCGAUCGUCAAAUUUGGGUAUAGGGGCGAAAGACUAAUCGAACCAUCUAGUAGCUGGUUCCCUCCGAAGUUUCCCUCAGGAUAGCUGGAGCCCGGUGCAGUUUUAUCAGGUAAAGCGAAUGAUUAGAGGUCUUGGGGCUGAAACAGCCUCAACCUAUUCUCAAACUUUAAAUGGGUAAGAAGCCUGGCUUGCUCGGUUGAAGUCUGGCGCAGAAUGCCGGGGCUCCCAGUGGGCCAUUUUUGGUAAGCAGAACUGGCGAUGUGGGAUGAACCAAAUGCCGGGUUAAGGUGCCCGAAUCGACGCUCAUCAGAUCCCAUGAAAGGUGUUGGUUGAUACUGACAGCAGGACGG
rnacentral:rRNA from 1 species